UCUAUAAGGAAUCGUUUGGGAGAGGUGGUAGAAAUAAAUGAGAGCACCUGUUUAUCAUUAAAAACGAAAGACUGAACUGUUGCAGUUACUUUCUAAAGUCACUUUUUUUUAUAGGAAGAUUUUGGAUAAAUCAUUAUCAAGGAAGCUAAGGACACCUGUGUUGUAUUGAAAGCACACCAGCCAUGAAAUCGGAAGGCCCAAAUUUGAAUUCCAGUUAUUCACAAAUUUACUAUGUAUCAAGCUUGGCACUGAAAUACAGCUCUCCAGAUCCUAGACUGAGGAUGAGGGGCAGCAAGAUUCAGAAGCCUUCUUUGGUCACUGAUGACACACUCCAUCUAAAUUAUCUUUGACAGUCUUGCACAGCAAGAUAUGAAGGCUUUGCCCCCUACGUUCUCAAAAUUAAGGGAACACGGAAUUCCCAAAGACUGAUGAUGACAUUUGUACUAAGAAGAGCUGUCCAGGAAGAGCUCCCCCAACUUUUCUCCCUGGAGUGAAGAGCCAGCUACUCCAUUGGUUCUGAUCUUCGCAGAUGUUAACAGAUC
rnacentral:lncRNA from 1 species